AAGUCGUAACAAGGUUUCCGUAGGUGAACCUGCGGAAGGAUCAUUAACACUUUUUCCAAAACUCCUUUUUUCUUUUGGCUCAAACCAAAAGAUUUAAGGUUUUAACCCCAAUUUAUUGCGAACGAUGAUUUUCCAAAAUCAUUUUUCUCUUCUUUAUCCUCUUUUUUUUUUACCCCAAUUUUUAAAAAAUCAAAAGCCUGAUAUAAAUCGUUUUCUCUUUUUUUUCAAAAAGAGUUUUAACGACCGAAACCUAAUGGUUAAAACAACUCUUAGCAACGGAUAUCUUGGCUCUC
rnacentral:misc_RNA from 1 species